rnacentral:lncRNA from 1 species
UCUUCAUCUCCACCUCUCACCACCACUACCAACCACUACUUCAUUACCCUCCACCGUGACAUCACCACCAUUUUGAUUUGAUUUUUACAGUUAACACAUCACCAGUUGUAACCAAACCUCCACAACUUCUCAAACGACCUUCCUUUUCCGGUAGCUAAAUAUACCACCACCGGUGACCUAAAUCUCGGGUCGUUGCUUCAAGUAGGACUAAAAUAGGAGAUUUGAGAUUGAAGAAUGAGGAAGAUUGAAACUUUAGAAAAUGGUGGAUGAAAGUGCAGCGAAUCCGGAGUAGUAGUCGCCGGAAAAACAACGCAGGAUCAGGAUUCAAGGAAUCAAACGCUUGUCGUGGUACCGGCGAUGUUUGAUUGAGUAGUAGCCGCCGGAAAAACAACGCAGGUGAAGGUUGGCCGGAACCCAAACCACGCAUACUGUGUGUGGAUGAGGGAGGUCUUUGGUUGCAUAUUCUUCAUACGUUAUCAUAAAGAGAUCUAUAAUCAGAUUCAUGGCGUGGUGUUCUAAAACAACAGGAUAAAUUGACUAUGAUUCAAGUCAUGGUGUUUUAUCUG